rnacentral:rRNA from 1 species
UACGUAGGGUGCGAGCGUUGUCCGGAAUUACUGGGCGUAAAGAGCUCGUAGGCGGUUUGUCGCGUCGUCCGUGAAAACUUGGGGCUCAACCCCAAGCUUGCGGGCGAUACGGGCAGACUUGAGUACUGCAGGGGAGACUGGAAUUCCUGGUGUAGCGGUGAAAUGCGCAGAUAUCAGGAGGAACACCGGUGGCGAAGGCGGGUCUCUGGGCAGUAACUGACGCUGAGGCGCGAAGGCCAGGGGAGCAAACGGG